AAACGGCCGCGGUAUUUUGACCGUGCGAAGGUAGCAUAAUCAAUUGUCUUAUAAUUGAAGACUGGAAUGAAUGGCUGGACGAAAUUAAAACUGUUUUAUUUGUAUUAAUUAGAAAUUGGCUUUUAAAUGAAGAGAUUUAAAUUUAAUUAAUAGACAAGAAGACCCUAUUGAGCUUUAAAUAACUUUAAAGUUAAAAAUUUAUUAUUAGAGAUUUAAGUUUUGAAUGUUUUUUAGUUGGGGCGACUAAGGAAUAAAAGAAGCUUCCUUUAUUUAUUAGAUCAAUGGAUUUUGAUCCAGUAUUGAACUGAUUAAUGGAGAUAGUUACCAUAGGGAUAACAGCAUAAUCUUCUUGGAGAGUUCUUAUCAAAAAGGAGGGUUGUGACCUCGAUGUUGGAUUAAAAUAUCCUAAAGGUGUAGAGGCUUU
rnacentral:rRNA from 1 species